AGUGAACGCUGGCGGUAGGCCUAACACAUGCAAGUCGAACGGCAGCACAGUAAGAGCUUGCUCUUACGGGUGGCGAGUGGCGGACGGGUGAGGAAUACAUCGGAAUCUACUUUUUCGUGGGGGAUAAUGUAGGGAAACUUACGCUAAUACCGCAUACGACCUACGGGUGAAAGCAGGGGAUCUUCGGACCUUGCGCGAUUGAAUGAGCCGAUGUCGGAUUAGCUAGUUGGCGGGGUAAAGGCCCACCAAGGCGACGAUCCGUAGCUGGUCUGAGAGGAUGAUCAGCCACACUGGAACUGAGACACGGUCCAGACUCCUACGGGAGGCGGCAGUGGGGAAUAUUGGACAAUGGGCGCAAGCCUGAUCCAGCCAUACCGCGUGGGUGAAGAAGGCCUUCGGGUUGUAAAGCCCUUUUGUUGGGAAAGAAAAGCAGCAGGUUAAUACCCCGCUGUUCUGACGGGACCCAAAGAAUAAGCACCGGCGAACUUCGU
rnacentral:rRNA from 1 species